AACGAAGUCCCGCCGCGAACCCCCCCUCAAUGAUCUAGCUGGAGAGCCGAGCGCGGGUCUGUAGCUCAGGCGGUUAGAGCGCACCCCUGACAAGGGUGAGGUCGGUGGUUCGAGUCCACCCAGACCCACCAAACCGUGGGGCCAUAGCUCAGCUGGGAGAGCAUCGGCUUUGCAAGCCGGGGGUCGGCGGUUCGAACCCGCCUGGCUCCACCACCCGACGCGGCGCGCCUGGGGCGCGCUCCCGUUUUCGACGGUUUCGUUGAGUCGCACGGUUUCGUCGUGCGGUUUAGUUGCACGGUUUCAUCGUGCGGUUCUUUAACAAUGUGGGAAGUGCGAUGUAAUGAAGCGCGCGCGCGCCUGCCUUUAUCGGCGGGUGCCGCGGGCGCGGGGAAGCGACGCGCCGACUUGCAGUGGUUGGGGUUGGC
rnacentral:misc_RNA from 1 species